rnacentral:rRNA from 1 species
GACGAACGCUGGCGGCGUGCCUAAUACAUGCAAGUAGAACGCAGUAGCGAACGGGUGAGUAACGCGUAGGUAACUGCCUCAUAGCGGGCGAUAACUAUUGGAAACGCUAUCUAAUACCGCAUAUUUUGAGAUGUACCUUCGUUUUAUUAGCUAGUUGGUGGGGUAAAGGCUCACGAAGGCGCCGAUACAUAGCCUGCCUGAGAGGGUGGUCGGCCAAACUGGGACUGAGACACUGCACGGAAUCCUACGGGGGGCAGCACGAGGGAAACUGCGGCAAUGGGCAGAAGUGUGAACGAGCAAACACGGGGGAGUGAAGUGGGUUUUCGGAUCGGAAAGAUCUGGUGGUAGAGAAGCGGUAACUAACCAGAAAGGAACGGCUAACUACGUGCCAGCAGCCGCGGUAAUAC